rnacentral:miRNA from 1 species
UCAGGUAAGCUCUGUGCCACUG